UGGAUCCAGACUUUGAUUCUGGCUCAGGACGAACGCUGGCGGCGCGCCUAACACAUGCAAGUUGAACGAGCGAGAGGAGCUUGCUUUCUUGAGCGAGUGGCGAACGGGUGAGUAACGCGUGAGGAACCUGCCUCAAAGAGGGGGACAACAGUUGGAAACGACUGCUAAUACCGCAUAAGCCCACGGCUCGGCAUCGAGCAGAGGGAAAAGGAGCAAUCCGCUUUGAGAUGGCCUCGCGUCCGAUUAGCUAGUUGGUGAGGUAAUGGCCCACCAAGGCGACGAUCGGUAGCCGGACUGAGAGGUUGAACGGCCACAUUGGGACUGAGACACGGCCCAGACUCCUACGGGAGGCAGCAGUGGGGAAUAUUGCACAAUGGGGGAAACCCUGAUGCAGCGACGCCGCGUGGAGGAAGAAGGUCUUCGGAUUGUAAACUCCUGUUGUUGAGGAAGAUAAUGACGGUACUCAACAAGGAAGUGACGGCUAACUACGUGCCAGCAGCCGCGGUAAAACGUAGGUCACAAGCGUUGUCCGGAAUUACUGGGUGUAAAGGGAGCGCAGGCGGGAAGACAAGUUGGAAGUGAAAUCCAUGGGCUCAACCCAUGAACUGCUUUCAAAACUGUUUUUCUUGAGUAGUGCAGAGGUAGGCGGAAUUCCCGGUGUAGCGGUGGAAUGCGUAGAUAUCGGGAGGAACACCAGUGGCGAAGGCGGCCUACUGGGCACCAACUGACGCUGAGGCUCGAAAGUGUGGGUAGCAAACAGGAUUAGAUACCCUGGUAGUCCACACUGUAAACGAUGAUUACUAGGUGUUGGAGGAUUGACCCCUUCAGUGCCGCAGUUAACACAAUAAGUAAUCCACCUGGGGAGUACGACCGCAAGGUUGCAACUCAAAGGAAUUGACGGA
rnacentral:rRNA from 1 species